ACCCAUUGGUCAGUAUGCAGUUUAGAGCAUGGUGGGAAGAUGGAUGGAAGCUGUCACAGCAUCUGCCGCUGGAGAUGAUGGGCUAUGGUGAUUACAAGAGCCAUUGGCACAGCAGGUAUAAAGAACAGCCCAGGCCUGGUCUCAGGACAUGUUAAGGAUGGAAUGGACCCAGAAUGCGCUUGUUUCAGGAAGAAUGCUUCCUCCUGGAGUAAAAUAGGCUUUCUUCUGUCUUGUAUUGAAGUAGCGUCUGAAUAUUUGUUUCAACACUGUAGAGAAAGUGAGGUCUGCUUCGGAUCCAUCUUGCUACCUGAGUGUCCCUGCAAGGGAAGGGCUCGUAAGUGUUUGUACACGGACACCAGAGCUCACAGCCCACUCGUGCCAAGUCUGACCCGUGAAAAGAGAAAAGGAAUGGAGGUUGGUAUACAAAGCAUCUCUCCAGCUGGACCUGGUAAGGCAUGUAAUUGUCAAAAUUGUUCUCAUACUGACAAAACUUGA
rnacentral:lncRNA from 1 species